rnacentral:rRNA from 1 species
ACGAACGCUGGCGGCGUGCUUAACACCUGCCAGUCGAACGGAAAGGCCCUGCUUUUGUGGGGUGCUCGAGUGGCGAACGGGUGAGUAACACGUGAGUAACCUGCCCUUGACUUUGGGAUAACUUCAGGAAACUGGGGCUAAUACCGGAUAGGAGCUCCUGCUGCAUGGUGGGGGUUGGAAAGUUUCGGCGGUCGGGGAUGGACUCGCGGCUUAUCAGCUUGUUGGUGGGGUAGUGGCUUACCAAGGCUUUGACGGGUAGCCGGCCUGAGAGGGUGACCGGCCACAUUGGGACUGAGAUACGGCCCAGACUCCUACGGGAGGCAGCAGUGGGGAAUAUUGCACAAUGGGCGGAAGCCUGAUGCAGCAACGCCGCGUGCGGGAUGACGGCCUUCGGGUUGUAAACCGCUUUCGCCUGUGACGAAGCGUGAGUGACGGUAAUGGGUAAAGAAGCACCGGCUAACUACGUG